UGUCACUCAAGCAGGGGCGGGCACAGCUGCCGGUAGAGGGGAAAAACGCCGGCCGUCCCCGCCCCCCAGUGGAGGCCUCUUAAAGAAACAGGACGCCUUUCCCCUGCGGGCUACAGGGUCUAAAGGAAAGAAAUUUCCCAACAAACCCAAGAGGCAGCUUUCUUUUUCCCCUAAACUUUUUUUUUUUCUUUUUGGUAUGCAGUCCUAGAGUGAAGGAAAAGGCUUUUGUUCCCUGUGUCAAAUCAUAGGUUGUGAGCUCUAAGCGGGCCUCUGGUGGCACUCCGCCCUGUGCCCAGCGGGCACUUAACCGCACACUCAACAGUGGGGAUAGCUGUGGUUUGGGGAACUGAGUGGGAGGUGACAGUCGUGUCAGAGGCUGUGAGCAGCCGCGCUGCUCACCACCGAGUUGGAGCUAAUUAUACCGGCACCCAGGGCUGACCGUGGGCGCUGAGCAGAGGCAGAAGGGUACAACUCAGCUGUGCUGUUGGAAGGGAUCCGUGGGAGGUGGCAUUCGUCACUGCACCUGCGGAUCGGAACAAGGCCAGGCACCGCGCCAAGGACUCACUCCUGCUGUCUCUCUUCAUGCUUACAGCAGCCCUGUGGUGGAGGGAGCAUCGUGAUCCCUUCGCUGCAGAUGAGGAAACUGAGGCGCAGAGAAGGUCCGAGAUCUUACAGUUGGUGAGGGGCAGAGCAAGAUGCCAAGCUAUGCCUGUUGGAUUCCAAAGUUUAUACUUUAAUCGUUCGUCUAGCAGAUUCUUACAACAAUCCUGGGAGAAUAUUGUUUUAGCCUGGAUUCUCCAGAAAACAGAGCCUUUGGCAAGUUUGUAUGCUAACACCUCGCUGGGGAGUGCAACCUUGGAGAAACCAGAUUGAGAGAAAAAUGAGGCAAGAAGAAGAAGUGCAAAGAUAAGAGGCAUUACUGAGAGGACCCAAGUUUUGUAAUUAAUGAAGCUAACUGCUUGGACUCACAGUACAUCCUCAGAUCUUCAGAGAAGUUGUACGAACUACCCUGUCUUGGAACAUCCUCAGGAGGAGAAAGUGAGUAGAAUUUAACCAUGGUUCCUUCCUGGUCUCUUGUCUCAUCCCCUGUGGCUCAAAGUCUCCCCCACAGGGCAUUAACCCUCCAGCCCAUUCAGGCUGUAUUACCUGGUCUCUCCAGACAGCAGCUGGGGAAGCCAGAGCUUUCAAGACCAAUCUAGCUAGUGCAGGUAGUAGCUUGUCUCUCCUUUUCUGACAGUGCCACUGUGGGGAUCCUCCAUCUAUAGUGUAGUCCAUGGCAGAGGCAUUGACCUGGCUCCAUGACCAGGUACUAGCUUGCUGUCCCCUGUAGAUCUCUUCUAUCUAGGAUUGAAGGCAAGGGGUUUAGGCCUGAGGUUGGUGAGUAUGGGGCUUAGGGAGAAGAUACCACAGAGAGAUCUACGGCAGUGCACACCAAAUCUGGUACAUUCCACUUUGCACCAUUCAGACCUACUUUCACCCUCUUACAGUAUCUUGAGCACAUACAAGAACGAUGCCUUCAUUUCGUCCCCUAGGGGAGAGAUGCAAGUCAGUCCUCCAAGGUGGUGACUCGUUGCAGUUCCUGGCAAUUUUAGAGGGCUGGCAAACCAAGUACAGUUUUUGCUGCUGUAACCUCUUCCAGGAUAGUAAUUCCAAUUCAUUGUCUUCCUCCUCUGCUACCCGUUCUGGAUUUCUAUCCCUCUUGGCUAUCAUUCAACUGAAAUGGGUUGCUUCCUGGUGAAGUGACUCAGAUUUUCCUCCUCAAGGGAUCUGAGGGAUCUGAACCCUUGCUGUUGUCUAACUGUAGUUGCUGCAAGGGAUUUAGGACUGUCCUUUGCAUGGAAGUCCUAAGAGAUGCCCAGGGAUUCCCUGGAUUCUCAUUGUGUAGCAGCUACCCUAGCUCUUCAUGUUGUAGGGUAGAUUAUCCCAGGGUGGAUUAUCUCAGCAGGUAAAACCAUCCUUUCUUUAUCUGCUAGUCAACUGGCAUGAAUGGCCAAAAUGGCCCCAAAUGGCCAGCUGGUUUGAGAGAGGUGAAUCUUACUUCCAAUCCUGUGCUCCUGGGGAUAUCACACCAUAUAUUGGCCAUUAAUUCAGUGUAUGUACCAUAUUCUGGAGGAAAGCACCUCAUCCUCAAAAGAUGUUGUCUCCAAGCUGGUACCCUAAACCUUGGAGAGGCCAUUUCUGUCAGUCUGAUUGCUUUUGGGUGAUGAUGUAUAGCCUUGCUACUUAAAGUUUGUGUGUGUGUGUGUGUGUGUGUGUGUGUGUGUAGGGGACCGGUAGCAGCAGAAGAAACUGGGAGCAUUUUAGAAGUGCAAAUUCUUGGCCAGGUGUGGUGGCUUAUACCUGUAAUCCCAGCACUUUGGAGGCCAACGCAGGAAGAUUGCUCAAGCUCAGACUUCAAGACCAGCCUGCACAACAUAGUGAGGUCCUGCCUUUACAAAAACAAAAAAAUUAGCCAGGCUCAGUGGUGUGCACCGGCAGUGAGCCAAGCCAUUAUUGCAACACUGCACUCUAUCCUGGGUGACAAAGCAAGACCCUGUCUUAAAAAAAAUGGCAAAUUCUCAGGUUCCCCUCCAGAUCUACUGGAGCAGAAUCUGCAUUUUGACAAGAUUCCUAGGUGAUCUGUAUGCACAUUAAAGUUUGAUACCUGGUUUAUAUGGUAAGAUGUAUGUGAUGUUCACUGAAGCAGGGCAAUGGUUGAUGUCAGAGGAGGAAGUGUGGGGUAUAGGGUUGCUAUGGAUCUGUAGCAAUACAUAAACUGAGUCAUAUACAAGUAUUAAGUUCAUUUAUUGACAGAGUCACUUAAGCCUAUACAACUUCCAUUGUCUGCAGCUUUUUCUGUCUUCCAUUAGCUUUUGAAUGACGAGGUCUCCUUUCCAUUGUUUUCCAGAUAAUUUGUAAUUUUAUUUUUUAUUUCCUUUGAUCCAAGGGUUACCUAACACUGUAUUUCUUACACUUAAUUUCCAAAUCAUUAGCAUAUUUUGGUAAUAUUUUAAAUUAUUUGCUUCUUUUUUAUUGGAUGAUGAAUGGAAAAGAUAGCCUAUAAAAUAUCUAAUUUACUUAAUUUUUCAAGAUUUUCCUUAUGACCCAAUAGAAGAUAAAUUUUGGUAAAUACUCCAUGUAUAUAUAAAAAUCUAUAUUCUGUAGUUGAAGAAAUACUUAUUUGAGUUUGCUGAUUCUAUUUUUAAUCCUUCUAUGCAUCUUUUCCUACUAGACCUACUGAUUUUGAAACAGACAUGUUGAAGUCUCCCAUCGAAAUUGUAUUUUUCGAGGCUCUCUUUAUACUUCUAAUACUUUUUCUUUCUAUAUUUAUUUGCUAUGUCGUUUGGUGCAUAAAGUUUUGUGCUCAUUAAGUCCUCUUCAUAAAUUUUGUAGUAAUAAUAUCCCUCUUUAUCCAGUUUGGAAUUUUAUUCUUAAAAUCCAACCCAUGUGAUGUGGAUAUUGCUACUCAAAUUCUUUGUUUGUUUCCAGAUCAAAACUAAUUUUUGGAUCCUGAACACACUGACUGAGCAAGAAUAUCAGUUGUGGCCUUGAGACCAGCUGCAUUGGCAGGGUAAGCUUGGUUAAAAGAACUCCAGAUGGCCCGGGGGCUGCAGGACUCCUUGCCAAUUAUCAGAGGAAGAUAAGGCCUGUGUGAAACCGGGGCAAACCUGAACCAGCGACCCUGUGUUACCUUGAGAUCAUUAACAUAUCAUCAUAAUGCUAAAGCCUCACCCAUAGAAGAUAAUUGCUGCCAUUUUCUGAAUAUACAUUAUGUGAAGAAGCAUGUUCAUGAUCUGCACCUGCACGUCUGGAGUUCCUCCCCACAUGUGUUUACCUACCUCCCCGCCCCACAUCUAACGCCUUAAAAUCCCCCAGCUUCUCAUAGCUCAGGGAGAAAGAAUCUUUAGAGAAAGAGCUCCCUCCUCCGUUCCUGGCCAGGAAUAAAACCUGCUUGCCCUUUUUCCCAUUAGGUGUUACAGUAGAACUCAGUUAGCCUGUAACAAUAAGAACUGCAUUAAAUCCUUAUAUCAACUUGGGAAGAAUUGACAGAUUUACCAUAUUAAGUCUUCUAAUCCAUAAGUAAGUAUGGUCAUUCUUUUUUUAGAUUUCUGAAAUUUCUUUCAUCAGCAAUUUUGUAGUUCUUUGCCUCACUAUCUAGAUCCCAAAUAUAUAUUUUUUUUUUCUGAAAGUUCUAUCUCUUACAAUUUAAACCUGAGUAGUUAUCAGCAUGCAAGCCCUGUACAUGUUUUGUUGGAUUUAAAUUUAAGUAUUUUGUUUUUUGAUACAUUGUAAAUGCUACUGUAUUUUAAAUUUCAGUGCCCAUGUGUUCAUUGCUAGUAUAAAGAAAUACAACAUAUUCCAGCAGUCUAGCUGAAGUCACUUAUCAGCUCUAGGAGUUUUUGUUUUUGAUUCUAUUUUUGGUAGAUCUUUGAGUUUUCCUACUUAGAUAAGCAUGUUAUCUGCAAAUAGGGACAGUUUUAUUACUACCUUUCUGAUCUAUAUGCCUUUUAUUUCCUUUUCUUACCUUAUUGCAUUGGGUAGAACUUCUAACACUGUUUAACAAUAAUGGUAAGAGCAAUCAUCCUUGCCCUGUUCCUGUUCUCAGGGUACAGUCAUUCAUUCUUUCACUGUUAAGUAUGAUGCUGGCUGUGGAGUUGUUAUAGAUGCUCUUUAACAAGUUAGGACAAAUUCCCUCUAUUUCUAUUUUUCUGAGCAUUUUUAAACCCAUGAAUGGGUGUUUUGUCAAAUGCUUUUUCUGUAUUGAUUGGUAAGAUCAAUUUUCUUUUGUAUCAAUUUUCUUUUGUUAAUAUGUUGGAUUAUGUUGACUGAUUUGUGAAUAGUAAAACAGCCCUGCAUUCCUACAGUAAGCCUCACUUUGUUACAAGAUCUUUGGGGUGUUGCUUUUCUGGCCAGAAACCUCUGUGGCCAGUGGCCCCUUUGCCCAAGUUUUGUUUGGGCCCACUGGGCUCCUUCUGCCUACUUGGCCUGGCAGGCUGUGCUCAGCUCAUGCUACCAGCCUGGAUCUCACGUCUGCCAAAGGCAAGUCAGGCAUGGAGUGGCAAGGGGUGUGUGAGCAAGCGUGGGGUCUGGUCACUGUGCAGUCAGACAUGUCAGCUGCUGCAGUGGGGUGGGCAGCUCCAGGUGCUGGCAUAGGCACUAGUUCUCUAUGAGGCUGUGGCUGGGCCAGGCACACUGCACGCAGCUUCCACAGCUGGAACCGGGGAACACAGUGGUGCCUGGAAGCUUGGAGAUGCCAGGAACCACGGGGCUCCCAAAAAGGAGUCAUAGACCGGGCUUGGGGAGCUCCAAGGUCUGGGAUCCCCUAAGGGCCACAGCUGUUCUUUCUUUCUCUUCACCCUCAAUGUAGCGAGCAAGGGACAUAUUUCAACCCUGUUUGUGUUACAGCCCUUUUAGCCCUGCCAUUCAAUGGGUCCCAAGUUCUUGUCCUAUAACCAGGAAGAAGGAGGUACGCAGACAAGUGGAGGCUCUGAGCAAGAUGAAAAGGAGCUUUAUUGAGUGAUAGGACAGUUCAGAGGAAACCUGCAGUGGGUAGCUCCUUUCCACAGCCAGGGUGUCCUGAUGAGUGUUCAGCUCCUAGCAAAGAGGAGACCCUGGAGUGGGAAGCUCCUCUUUGCUUGCAGGUGGUCCCAUUGUCUCUGCAGCUCUCAGCAGAGAGUAGGCUCUGGAGUGGGUAGCUCCUCUUUGCUGUUGGUCAUCCCAGUGUCUGCUCAGCUCUGGUUGAGCCCAGGGGUAUUAUGGGCUUCAGAGGGGGGAAAGUGUAUGCCAGCUGGUCUAUGGGUAGCCAUGGGCAGGCCCAGAAAAGGCACCACAAGCUCCCACUCUGGCCUGUGGGGCUGGUAGCCCGACCCCAGCCUUCAGGCCCUCCUUGGUCUGAAGGUGGGCCUCACUGGGGAUCUGCCCCCUUCUGCCCCAGAGCCUAUCGGCCUCCUGCCACUGUCCAUGGCACCCAGGCUGCUCACAGCAAGGGGCACCUGCAGGCCAGCACAAGCCACCCUCAACUUGGUCAUUGUGUAUACUUUUUUUUACAUUGUUGACUUCUACUUGCUAAUUUAAAAAAAAGUUGCAUCUAUAUUCAUGAUGUUAGUCUUUUGUUUUUUUUACUAUCUAUCUUUUUUUUUGGUUUGAGUAUCAGAUUUAGUACUAGCUUCAUAAAAUAAAUGGGAAAGUCUACCCUCAUCUUCAAUUUUCCGGAAGAGAUUUUGUAGAAUUAGUGUUAAUUCUUUUUUAAACUUUUGGUAGAAUUCUCCAGUGAACUCUCUUGGUCUAGGAGACGUUUUUAAAUUUUAGUUUUAAAAUUACAAAUUCAGUUUUAAAAUUCCAUUUCAUAUUGGGUGAGUUAUAGUUUUUGAGGAAUUGGCUUGUUUAAGCUAAGCUGUCAAAUGUGUGUACGUAGAGUUGUUUGUAGUAUUCCCUACUAUCCUUCUGAUGUAUACAGAGUCUGUAGUGAUAUCCCAUUUCAUCCUUGAUGUUUCAUUCCAUUUCACCCUCUUUCUUUUCUCUCCUCGUUACUGGUUGUGGGAAUGGGAAUUCCAGCCUCUCCGUAGGCCUCUACUAAGACCUCCCUGACUUGGGGGACAAUUGGGUGGGAUGGCUUAUGACUGCUCCCCAAGGGGCCUCCCCUGACACCACAGUGGUGGUGGCCUCAUUACCACUAGUUGGUGGUGAAAGUCCUGACCCUCCUCUGGGUUUUCUGGGACGCUGCCCCAGCAGAGCAGAGAGGGGCACCUGGUAACUGCUGGAUGGGAGUGGAAGUCCAGGCUCCCCGACUGUCUUCACUGAUAUUGCAGGGAGCCCAUGGGGAGAGUUGAGGUGCCUCUUUACAGCCUGGUGUGGGUGGAAUUCUAGGAUCUCCACUCUGCCUUUGCUUGUGUGAGUGUGGGUGGGCCACAGUCUUUUCUGUGGUGUUUGGCUGGAGUAGAAAGGUUAUUGUCUCAAGGGUUUUCUAUCUUGUAAGGCUGCCCCUUUUCUGCUUUCUGUUUUGUUUUUGCUUUGUCUAGAGGGAGUAGGUUUUUGUUGGGACUUUUCCCCCCAUCUCAAACACUAGAGUUUCCAGGUCAUGAACUUCUUCAAUUCAAGUCUGGGAUAUAUGAGACAAAAUGAAAGCCAGGAGAACGCACUAUGAUGGUCCCAAGUCUCCUAGCUGGUCUGCCUUCUUUUCUCCACUUUUCAGAAUAUUCUUAUACUUGCUUUAUAUACAAACUAAAUCUACUGAAAAAAUACAAUAACCAAAAUAAAUGGAUGGGCUCAAUAGCCAAAUAGAGGAGAGAGAGGGGAAAAAAAUCACUGAAUUGGGAACUAUAACUAGAGAAACCACCCAGACUGAAAAACAGAGAGAAAAUAAAUGGAAAACAAUGAACAGAGCUUCAGGGACCUGUGAGACUAUGACAAGACCCAGUGUUUGUGUCACUGAAGUUGCAGAAGAAGAAAAGAAAGAAGACAAGGCUGAAAAGGUAUUCAAAGAAAUAAUGGCUGAAAGUUUCCCAAAUGUCCAGAGUUUUUAGUUGUCCUUACUGGGAGGAAUAGGGAGAAGCGUGUCUACUCCAUCUUCCUGAAAGCUGAAGAACCAAGCACUCCCGGAUGGGGACCCAGGGUCUCCAAGCUGGGAAGAACACUGAUAAGCUGUGCACAGAAGCAGUCCUGGGAGGACCCUGCCACAGGCAGAAACACACUGGACACUCAAAGCCAUACUGCUGGGUGCUGGAGUCCAUUGCUGCUUCUGAGAAGAAUCGCUAACUUUUCUGGGGUCUUCGUACCUUUAGCACCUGAUUCAAAUUCUUGGGAAGGCUAACCUGAGUGGCCAAUCGCAGGGAGCGGGCCCAGGCCCUGCCUGUCGGCAGGUGUGGAAAGAAAAUGUACAGCAUCCUGCAGCAUCCCUGGUGGAAGCUGGAGCCUGUUUUCCAUCAAGCCACACACACUGGGGGAUUCCUCAAUUUGUCCAAUUAGGAGGUCAGUGCAUGAGGUUGCUGUAAUCCCACAUCCCCGCAACACUCAGUUUUACUGAACUUCCUAAUAUUUGCCAAUCUAAUAGGUGUAAAAUUAUAUCUCAUUGUUGCAUCAAUUUGCAUUUCCUGGAUUAUUAACAUUUGUGAGCACCUCUCAUAUGAGUGUUAGUUUUUGAGAGUUGUCAUUCUGCAAAUUGCCUGUUUAUAUCCUCUGGUGCUUCACCCAGGUAUAUUUAUGUUUACUACGCUUUUGAAUGGGAGCUUAUUUCCCUGAGUGUUACAGACAUUUGAGACAGUUACAUUAUAAAAAUAUAUUACUGAGUGAAGAGAUAAUCAUAAGAUGUAGUUCUUUAAUAAUUCCAGAUUUGAAAAACAACCACAUUAAAUGUUAUUAUUUCCGGGAAGUGAGAUUAUCUGACAUUUGUUUCCUCCCCCUCCUCCUCCUCCUCUUCUUCUUCUUCUUCCUCCUCUUCCUCUUCUUCUUCCUCCUCUUCCUCUU